GGGUGAAGCCUGUGCGAUGAGACCCUGUGAACCAUGUCAGACGGGGAACCGAGCAGCAUUAAGCAGAUGUCUCAUGUGCCGCAGCCACUUUGCCCAUC
rnacentral:SRP_RNA from 1 species